CGCCUGUUUAUCAAAAACAUAGCCUACUAUUUAACUUAGGUACAACCCUGCCCUCUGACUUUUAACAGCCGCGGUAUCCUAACCGUGCUAAGGUAGCAUAAUCACUUGCCUAUUAAUUAUAGGCUAGAAUGAACGGGAUCACUCACUUAAACUUAUUUUUAUUUAAAUUUAAAUUAAACUUUAAGUCAAAAUACUAAAUUAAAAAGAAAGACAAAAAGACCCUGAAAACUAUUAGAAAUAAUUAGUUGGGGCAACUAUAGACCACUCUAGCGUCUAUUUUUUUUAAACUCUUAAAAUCUAAAGUAUCCAGUUACUUCAGGGAUAACAGACUAAUUUUAUUAUUUAGACCCAAUAAAUAAUAAAGAUUGGCACCUCGAUGUUGGCUUAUAUUUCCUUCAUAUAGCAACAUAUAUAGAAGGCAGCUUGUUCAUCUGUUAAAUAUUUACAUGAGCUGAGUUCAGACCGGCGUAAGCA
rnacentral:rRNA from 1 species